AGAGUUUGAUCCUGGCUCAGAAUGAACGCUGGCGGCGUGCUUAACACAUGCAAGUCGCACGAGAAAGCCUUGGCUUGCCAGGGCGAGUAAAGUGGCGCACGGGUGAGUAACGCGUGGGUAAUCUACCCUCGAAUUUGGGAUAACAGCUCGAAAGGGUUGCUAAUACCGGAUAACAUCAUAGUUUCUUCGGCGAUUAUGAUCAAAGGUGGCCUCUACAUGUAAGCUACUGUUUGGGGAUGAGCCCGCGUACCAUUAGCUAGUUGGUAGGGUAAAGGCCUACCAAGGCAACGAUGGUUAGCUGGUCUGAGAGGAUGAUCAGCCACACUGGAACUGACACACGGUCCAGACUCCUACGGGAGGCAGCAGUGAGGAAUUUUGCGCAAUGGGGGAAACCCUGACGCAGCAACGCCGCGUGAGUGAUGAAGGCCUUCGGGUCGUAAAACUCUGUCAAGUGGGAAGAAACUACAAAAGGUUAAUACCCUUAUGUAUUGACGGUACCACUGAAGGAAGCACCGGCUAACUCCGUGCCAGCAGCCGCGGUAAUACGGAGGGUGCAAGCGUUAUUCGGAUUUAUUGGGCGUAAAGGGCGCGUAGGCGGUUUUGUAAGUCAGGUGUGAAAUCCCGGGGCUCAACCCCGGAAGUGCAUUUGAUACUGCAAGACUUGAGUAUGGGAGGGGGAAGUGGAAUUCCUGGUGUAGAGGUGAAAUUCGUAGAUAUCAGGAGGAACACCAGUGGCGAAGGCGACUUCCUGGACCAAUACUGACGCUGAUGCGCGAAGGCGUGGGGAGCAAACAGGAUUAGAUACCCUGGUAGUCC
rnacentral:rRNA from 1 species